rnacentral:rRNA from 1 species
UACGUAGGGGGCGAGCGUUUGUCCGGAUUUAUUGGGCGUAAAAGGCUUGUAGGUGGCCACGCCAAGUCGGAUGUGAAAUCUCCCGGCUCAACUGGGAGGGGUCAUUCGAUACUGGCGGGCUCGAGGCCGGUAGGGGGAAGCGGAAUUCCCGGUGUAGUGGUGGAAUGCGUAGAUAUCGGGAGGAACACCAGUGGCGAAGGCGAGUCCCUGGACAAUACCUGACACUGAGGCACGAAAGCUAGGGGAGCGAAACAGG